rnacentral:tRNA from 1 species
GCUGGGAUAGCUCAGUUGGUAGAGCAUGAGACUCUUAAUCUCAGGCUCAUGGGUUCGAGCCCCAUGAUGGGCA